rnacentral:rRNA from 1 species
GACGAACGCUGGCGGCGUGCUUAACACAUGCAAGUCGAACGGAAAGGCCCUGCUUUUGUGGGGUGCUCGAGUGGCGAACGGGUGAGUAACACGUGAGUAACCUGCCCUUGACUUUGGGAUAACUUCAGGAAACUGGGGCUAAUACCGGCUAGGAGCUCCUGCUGCAUGGUGGGGGUUGGAAAGUUUCGGCGGUUGGGGAUGGACUCGCGGCUUAUCAGCUUGUUGGUGGGGUAGUGGCUUACCAAGGCUUUGACGGGUAGCCGGCCUGAGAGGGUGACCGGCCACAUUGGGACUGAGAUACGGCCCAGACUGCUACGGGAGGCAGCAGUGGGGAAUAUUGCGCAAUGGGCGGAAGCCUGAUGCAGCAACGCCGCGUGCGGGAUGACGGCCUUCGGGUUGUAAACCGCUUUCGCCUGUGACGAAGCGUGAGUGACGGUAAUGGGUAAAGAAGCACCGGCUAACUACGUG